CCCUUAGAUGUUCUGGGCUGCACGCGCGCUACACUGAUGCGAUCAACAAGUUUUUCCUAUGUCGAUAGACACGGGUAAUCUUUUGAACUCGCAUCGUGAUGGGGAUAGAUUAUUGUAAUUAUUAAUCUUCAACGAGGAAUUCCUAGUAGGUGCAAAUUAUCAGUUUGCAUCGAUUACGUCCCUGCCCUUUGUACACACCGCCCGUCGCUGCUACCGAUUGGUUGAUCUGGUGAAUUAUUCGGACUGCCGGCUGAAGGGGUUUCCUCAUCUGCCAGCGGAAAGUCUUGUUAACCCUAUCAACUAGAGGAAGCAGAAGUCGUAACA
rnacentral:rRNA from 1 species